GAAAUGCGAUAAGUAAUGUGAAUUGCAGAAUUCAGUGAAUCAUCGAAUCUUUGAACGCACAUUGCGCCCGCCAGUACUCUGGCGGGCAUGCCUGUUCGAGCGUCAUUUCAACCAUCAAGCCCCCGGGCCUGUGUUGGGGACCUGCGGCUGCCCGCAGGCCCCGAAAACCAGUGGCGGGCUCGCUGUCACCCCGAGCGUAGUAGCAACACCUCGCCCAGGGAGUGCCGCGGGCUCCGGCCGUAAAACAGCCUUAUUUUACCCAAGGUUGACCUCGGAUCAGGUAGGAAGACCCGCUGAACUUAA
rnacentral:misc_RNA from 1 species